rnacentral:lncRNA from 1 species
UUAUGUGACAAAUUUUGAGGCAAAAGACCCUGUUUUCUAGAGGGAGGGAGAGAGAGAGAGGGAGUCACCGUUACUUGAGCUUUGAUUUCUUCUUUCUUCUAGUGACAGUAGUGGCUCCCCAGAACUGGCAUCUUUCAAUGAGACUAGAAUGUCAAGCGAGUCCUCUGGGUCCUUUUUCCCGUAACCAGCUUUCUCUUGUUGAACCCUCUCUUCAAUUAGAGGGUCAUGGUAUUUCCUUGUAAUCUCAAUGGCCUCCUUUUUUAUCUUCUAAUGGCCACCCAGGUCAAGCCCUCUCGGCAUGUAAUCUGAUGCACACAAUGAAUAGAUGUAUUUGAGCAGAGUGGAAAUGCUAACAGGCCGGCAUAAGUUGCAUCUUGUUUCUCCAAGAACUUGCGGCUGAGUUUCGGACAAGUGACAGGGAAUACAUGAACAUUUCCGAGGCGGAAGCAUGUGAUAUUGAUCUUACGGGGGGAACGAAAUCAAAGAAUAUAUAGACUCGUAGAGACCCUCUAUGUAGUGGUCUAUCUAGGGCGAUCGAUCUACAUCUUUCCCCAUAGCCCAGGGGCUGUGUUUCGAUCUCCUAAAUCCUUGACAGACAAAUGUAAACAUUGUCUUUGCUGUUGUUGGGAAUGAACGAACGCACAGCCGAUCUGUCACCCAACCUACUUAAACAACCUCAAAGGCUUGGCCCCGUCCCGUUUGGAGAAUGACCCUUAUGGCACGGCUUAGUCAGUUAUUAUCGCAGUUCAGAUAAGAUUCGGACCGCCACUUCUCUGAAAACAUGGUUCUGUUGCUUGAACUUCUUAACGCCUGGAUUGUCUGAUCAAAUAUGUGAAGGCGAUUGUAAUGAGAAGAAGCAAGAAGGGGAGGCAGAAUAGCUUCGAGGGAAAUAAGGCAAUGGCAACCAUGACUGACUCUGCUUUUUUUGUUGUUGUUGUUGUUGUUGAGAAUUAGCGAUAGAUACAUUGCAUUGGAGAGGGGGCAUUCAUCCUGGGAUUCGAACAGAUGACCAAAGGGGGGAAGGGGGAGGGACUCACCACAAAGGUGAACCCCUCGGUCGACUGACUGUGGUUUAGAGAACAAAGCUGAUCACCCAAGUUUUUCUGAGACUUGUAUAGAAACCCUACUAGUAAGUACUAAAAGGACUGGCAAGUAGUAACCUUUGGUUUUUUGGUAACUUUUUAAACCACUUACUUUAGUUACG